rnacentral:rRNA from 1 species
AUUGAACGCUGGCGGCAUGCCUUACACAUGCAAGUCGAACGGCAGCGGGCCCUUCGGGGUGCCGGCGAGUGGCGAACGGGUGAGUAAUGCAUCGGAACGUACCCGGGAGAGGGGGAUAACCGGCCGAAAGGCUGGCUAAUACCGCAUGAACUCGGAAGAGCAAAGCGGGGGACCUUCGGUCCUCGCGCUCUCGGAGCGGCCGGUGUCCGAUUAGGCUAGUUGGUGGGGUAAAGGCCCACCGAGGCGACGAUCGGUAGCGGGUCUGAGAGGACGAUCCGCCACACUGGGACUGAGACACGGCCCAGACUCCUACGGGAGGCAGCAGUGGGGAAUCUUGGACAAUGGGCGCAAGCCUGAUCCAGCAAUGCCGCGUGGGUGAAGAAGGCCUUCGGGUUGUAAAGCCCUUUCGGCGGGGAAGAAAUCGGUCAGGCGAAUAGACUGGCCGGAUGACGGUACCCGCAGAAGAAGCACCGGCUAACUACGUG